rnacentral:rRNA from 1 species
AUGAGAUGUAAACAUGAGUUCGACCUUGUAAUGGAAGAUUUGGAGACCUUGUAUGACAAAUGUGUGGCCCAAGAUAAUAGAGGCGGAGCAGAAGUAAGUGCAUCCUUGUCUACAAGCAUCCCAAUUCAAGCUGGGUAUGAGUCCUUAUCGGCCCGUUCAACACAAAUAUCAAAGAGUGAGCUUAGAAAUUAUCUAGAGGAUAAAUGUGAGCCUCCCACAGUUCCUCUUGAUCUUCUUGGCUGGUGGAAGGUACAUGCUCCUAGGUACCCAAUGAUGGCAAAGAUAGCAAAAAAGUUCCUCACUAUCCCGGCUACCUCUGUCUCAUCGGAAUUAACCUUUAGCACUACCGGAAGGAUUUUAGAUGACUAUAGGAGUUCUCUGAAACCCUCUACGGUGGAGGCCUUGGUUUGUAGUGCAAGUUAUGUCAAGGGUUCACACGUCGACUUGAAUGUGUUGCCGAGGGAGGAUGAGGAGGAUGAGGAUGUUAGACCAUAA